GAGUUUGAUCGUGGCUCAGAUUGAACGCUGGCGGCAGGCCUAACACAUGCAAGUCGGGCGGUAGAGAGAAGCUUGCUUCUCUUGAGAGCGGCGGACGGGUGAGUAAUGCCUAGGAAUCUGCCUGGUAGUGGGGGAUAACGCUCGGAAACGGACGCUAAUACCGCAUACGUCCUACGGGAGAAAGCAGGGGACCUUCGGGCCUUGCGCUAUCAGAUGAGCCUAGGUCGGAUUAGCUAGUUGGUGAGGUAAUGGCUCACCAAGGCGACGAUCCGUAACUGGUCUGAGAGGAUGAUCAGUCACACUGGAACUGAGACACGGUCCAGACUCCUACGGGAGGCAGCAGUGGGGAAUAUUGGACAAUGGGCGAAAGCCUGAUCCAGCCAUGCCGCGUGUGUGAAGAAGGUCUUCGGAUUGUAAAGCACUUUAAGUUGGGAGGAAGGGCAGUAAAUUAAUACUUUGCUGUUUUGACGUUACCGACAGAAUAAGCACCGGCUAACUCUGUGCCAGCAGCCCG
rnacentral:rRNA from 1 species